CCUACGGGGGGUAGCAGUGAGGAAUAUUGGUCAAUGGACGAGAGUCUGAACCAGCCAAGUAGCGUGAAGGAUGACUGCCCUAUGGGUUGUAAACUUCUUUUAUAUGGGAAUAAAAUGUUCCACGUGUGGGAUUUUGUCUGUACCAUAUGAAUAAGGAUCGGCUAACUCCGUGCCAGCAGCCGCGGUAAUACGGAGGAUCCGAGCGUUAUCCGGAUUGAUUGGGUUUAAAGGGAGCGUAGGUGGAUUGUUAAGUCAGUUGUGAAAGUUUGCGGCUCAACCGUAAAAUUGCAGUUGAAACUGGCAGUCUUGAGUACAGUAGAGGUGGGCGGAAUUCGUGGUGUAGCGGUGAAAUGCUUAGAUAUCACGAAGAACUCCGAUUGCGAAGGCAGCUCACUGGACUGCAACUGACACUGAGGCUCGAAAGUGUGGGUAUCAAACAGGAUUAGAUACCCGAGUAGUC
rnacentral:rRNA from 1 species